AUUGAACGCUGGCGGCAUGCCUUACACAUGCAAGUCGAACGGCAGCACGGGGCAACCUGGUGGCGAGUGGCGAACGGGUGAGUAAUGCAUCGGAACGUACCUUUCAGUGGGGGAUAACGUAGCGAAAGUUACGCUAAUACCGCAUAUUCUGUGAGCAGGAAAGCAGGGGAUCGCAAGACCUUGCGCUGAUUGAGCGGCCGAUGUCAGAUUAGCUAGUUGGUGAGGUAAAGGCUCACCAAGGCGACGAUCUGUAGCGGGUCUGAGAGGACGAUCCGCCACACUGGAACUGAGACACGGUCCAGACUCCUACGGGAGGCAGCAGUGGGGAAUUUUGGACAAUGGGGGCAACCCUGAUCCAGCCAUGCCGCGUGAGUGAAGAAGGCCUGCGGGUUGUAAAGCACUUUUGUUCGGGAAGAAAUCAUGUUGGUUAAUACCUGACAUGGAUGACGGUACCGAAAGAGUAAGCACCGGCUAACUUCGUGCCAGCAGCCGCGGUAAUAC
rnacentral:rRNA from 1 species